rnacentral:misc_RNA from 1 species
CGCUGUAGAGACUUUAAAAAAAAAAAGUUGCAGACUGGUUCCUGAUCGAUACCCUGCCUCGUGCGAGGCGCAGCAUCCCUGGUGUGGGCUGCUUGCGCCGGCAAACGGCUGCAGAUGUUGUGGUGAAGCCACGCCAGCAGUGGCCUGUCUACUUACCGCGGCCUCCACUGUGUUUCCUCCUCGCCAGUGUUCGUUCAUCUGUAGCUUUGGGCUUUUCUCUCCUUCGUGGAUGCUCCCCGCCCCUCUCUUCACUGUAUGUAUGUGUGUGCAUGUGCCCCUCCCACUCCCCCUUCCAGCGACACGUGACACACAGCCGAGCUCGUGCCUGGAGAGGCGUGUGUACGCGCGUGCCUUACACGACACGAGCUGGUGUGAAGCCUAGCGUGUGAUUUACUCUUUUUCUUGUUUGUUUUUCUACUCUCCCCCUCCCUGUCGGAGGGGCAAAGAUGAUUCGGUGUAGCCGUCGGCGGAAUCUGUGUCUGUGAUACAAGCUGUACCGCCUGGUGCUGCUGCUGGCGCCUCACCUGCGAAGAUGAGAGUAGAUGGCUGGCCGUGACGCCGCACUUGAAAGGGAGAUAAAUCUUGUUCAACCGUCUGUGGAUUACUCUUUCGGCUCUUCGUCAUCAUCGUCGUCGUCGUCGUCGUCAUCGCCAUGGGCAACAAACUGUGCGCGCCUCUCCUCAAGAAGAACUACCGGAGUCACGACAGCACGCCGUGGAAUAUUCGCAAGGAUUCCCACCUGCUCAGGCUGUGGGCUGACGUGUUCCGGGUGCACGGGGUGGGCGACUACAUGCGUUGGGAGCGAGUAUCGGAUGAUGUAGUUCCGGUCAACAUCACCUGCAUUGAGGACACCCCCAACACCAUCUUCCAGAUCACAGCCUACAACCGACAGGUGGAGAAAAUCUUUGAUGUCAAGAUCACCCAGCCAGGAACCAUCAUAUGUCCAGCCACCGAGUGCUUCGUCCACUGGCGGGAUCCGAACACCAACAGGGAGUGGGGACUCAACUUCUCCACCCCCACCGACGCACGGCGAUUUCGCGACUGCUGCUCGUUUCCUACCCAAAGAUUCGCCAGAAAAGCGUCGUCUGCGAGCUCGCUACACAUCAGUCCUCCGAAAGUAAACUCUCAGAGACCUCGAAGCAAGGCUGCCUCCACCUCCUCCCCCAGCUCCCCCAUCCACUCUCGCCACCACCUGGCCGACAGCGACCCCGAGACGUGCACCGACUGCCCCCAGUAUCCCCCUGCCUCCCAGCCCCCGUCAAUCAGGUCGACGUCACUGCCGCGCAGCGCCUCGCACGUGCUGCGGGAUGCUGGAGACUUCACGAGGCCGUACGCCACCAUGACUGCCAUGCCCAAGCCGGGUUCCGAGGCCGCCAUGUUUGAACACUGCCGGGGACCCGUUCUGCGACGCGCCAACUCCGAGAGUCCUAACUCCGGAACUCUCCCCCAGCGGAAGUCCAUGCCGUCGGUGUUGACUGCCCGCGAUUCGCCCAGCAAGCGUCUCCAGGACAUCAUCCGCCCCGCGUCUGCCAUUGCUGAGAUCACGGCCCAGAAACUGGAGAGCCCCAAGCGGGUGGUCAUCAGUGACGUCAUCACGGGGUCGCGAACGUCAUCUCCGGUGUCCGUGACGCAAGAGAAACCGAACGGUAUUCUAAAGAAGGACACUAGUCUCGGCGAGCGCAUGUUUCCUCCUCCAUUGGACCGCUGCGUUUCCAUGGACGCCGAUAGAUCGCAGCAGGCCAACAACGUCUGCGACGGGACCACGGAGCUGGAUGCAGCCGAUGGCGCUGAGGGUAGAGACACAUCGUUGUCGCUGUCAUCGGCGUCGCAGGCCAGCAAGAAGUCGCACCUGACGGUGGACACCACCUUCACUGCGGGCAACUCCCAACACACCUCGUCCUCCAGCUCGCCCGAGUGGCCUUCCCCUCCGGAACCUUUGACCCCGCAGACACCUUCAACCCCGCUGGGUCACAUGGAGUUCGACAGCGACACCAUCAAGCGCCUGCUGCGUUCCUUCCCGUCAUCCCCAGUCGACAAGGAGGACUACGACCUGGGCUUUCACGAUGACCCCAGCUUGCAGGACCCUAGUUCCAUUCGCAGGGCGCAGCUGGCUCGCACCAAAAGUCUCAACACCCACGACCGACCCCCGGCUAGGGGCGGCAACUCCGGGCGCGGACGUCUGCAACGCGAACAGACGGUGGGCAGCGCCGUGGUGUGCAAGGCGGGUGAGCUCCACAGGUCCCGGAUGUUCAACAAGGUGGCGCUGGAAGAGGAGCUGCGCAAGCGCAAUCGUUGCGCCGCAGCGGCUGCCGUCUGCUCCUACAAGGGAAGCUACCCAGACAGCGGCAUCGGGAUACCAGGCGAGGUCUGCGGUUCGCUCCCUUCGGAAGGCAGCUGCAGGUCCCGGCGGGGUAAAUUGAGAAGCCAUGAGGUGGGCAGCUUGUCGGUGGAGGGGAGCAGCCGUGACAGCGAAGAUCAGAGCGACCUCAUCAUCAAACGCCUGGGAGAUGGACCCGAGCUAAAGCAGUAUCUGGCGCCAGAUUUGUCAGACGAAGAUGAUGAACAUGGAAGUAGCGGCAGUCUAGACACCAUGAUGGAGACAGACUCACAGCUGUCAUAUGGCCGCCAAGCAGGAGCUAUCCGCAAAGCUGGGUGGCUUGUUGUGAAGAACUGGCUGAUUCACAAGAAGAAGAAGCUAGAGUUGGCCCCUCGGAGAACUUGGAAGCGCUACUGGGUGUGCCUGAAGGGAACCACUUUGCUUUUCUUUGACAGUGGUGAGGAAAGUGCCUUGAGCCAAAACACAAUCCCAAAGCACAUCCUCGUUAUAGAAGGUGGUAUAGCCCAAGCAGUGCCAGAACAUCCAAAACGAGAGAACAUCUUCUCUCUGAGUACCGCUUGUGGGGAUGCCUACCUUUUCCAGGCACAAUCACAGAUUGAUUUGGAGAACUGGAUUCGAGCAAUACACUCAGCUUGUGCAUCGUCUUUUGCUCGGCAACAUGGUAAAGACAACACACUCAAGCUUCUGAGUACAGAGCUUCAGAAACUGGAGACAAACAUUGACACUGAUGUGAAGAUGAGGAAGAUGGCAGAGCUGCAGAUGACAGUGGUGACAGAUCCACGCAGCCGCAUUGCUAUAGUGAAGCAAAUUGCCCAGUGGGAGGAGAAUCUAGAAAAGCUGUACAUUGACCAGUACCGUUUUCGUUGUUACAUUGCUUCACUACAGGGCACAGAGCUCCCUAAUCCAAAGGUGCUUCUGGCCAGUGCUUGUAAAGCUACAAAAACCACUUUAGGACGAUUAGGAAUCUUCACUGUGACCUCAUUUCAUGCACUAGUGAGUGCUCGCAAGCCACUGGUGCUGCCAAAUAUUUAUGGCAAAGGAUCGAACAAGGGCAGCAUGCUGUCUCCACGAGCAGAGCAGCCUCCAAGACCGCGAUCUCGAACCCCAACAGGCACAAUGGGAACCAGCGUCAGCUCAGAGGCCCUUUUCAAGUCUAACACAAUUCGGGGCCACGAUUCUUUAGAGAACUUGCUGGAAAGAUCAACAACAGAAAACACUCUGACACAGGAGAGUCUAUCUCGAGUAACUUUGCCAAAUAACCAGUGCUACAACUUUCAGACGAUGCUCAUUGGAGUGGACAAAGGGACAAGUGUUCGGGACCUUCUGGAGGCAACUUGCAGCAAACGUCAGCUCAACCCUCGGGACCACUAUGUCCGCAUAAAGCCUAUGGGGUCCACCGACGACAAGUUUGUCAUCCCAGAUCGCCACGACCUCGUAAAGAAACUGCGCUAUGAUGCCAUAGAAGUGUGCCAGAAAUGUAUGUUCCAAAUGGAACUGACCAAACCGACCAAAGAUGGGAUGUUUGGCUUUGCUGUGGAAGCAGAGCUGGCUGAAGACUUUGACCGUGAUGAUGAACUUCAGGUGUAUGUCUGUGAGAUCACACCUGGUGGUGUGGCAGAGAAAGCAGGUUUAAUUGUGGGAGAUGAAAUCCUGGUCAUUAAUGGAAAGAUUGUGUCAGAGCUUGAUAUGGUGUACAUUGAAACUCUUUUACACGAAUCUCGAACUCUAUUCCUGACGGUUCGCUCCAUGCGGACACAACCACCACGUACAGAUUUUGUCACCCACCACACUGACAGCUACAUCAGCAACAUGGUCUGUCCUCCACCCCCAGUUCAGCCCAGAAUCUCAGAAAAGUCCAUAGGGAACCUUAUUGUUCCUGCUCCAACAGAAAAAGAUGGUGAUAGUAAAAUUCAGCCUGCAGUUGGGGAUGUACCGAGUGCAGAUCCAGUGCAGAUUGACACUCUUCUGAAGGCUGCUGAUCAGGUGACGGCCAUUUGCAGAACGGACCGCCAGGGGUCGACAGCAGAUGACGUAGCGCCCAGCACGCGCUCACUGUCUGACGCACAGCGCAUGCGCAAGGUCAUCAUGGAGCUGGUGGAGACAGAGCGUGCUUAUGUCAAGGACCUGAUGUGCCUCCUGUCCCGGUACCUGGAGCCGCUGAAGGAGGAGACGUUCUUGACGUCGGAGAAGGUGGCGGAGCUGUUCGGCAACAUCACGGAGAUCGUGCAGUUCCAGCAGCAGUUCCUGCACAGCCUGGAGCAGGCCAUCGAGCUGGAGCCCGACUUCUUCGUCACUGACGACAUCAAGCUCUUCAAGAGAGUUCUCUUCUCUAUCGGCGGCUCUUUCUUGUACUACGCCAACCACUUCAAGGUGUACAGUUCCUUCUGCGCCAGUCAUUCGCGUGCGCAGAAAAUCCUCAACCCAGAAUCCAACGAGGCUUUGCGCGAGUUCCUGCUGGCCAGGAACCCGAAGCAGCAGCACUCAGCCACGCUGGAGUCGUACAUGAUCAAACCCAUACAGCGCAUCCUCAAGUACCCGCUGCUGCUGCAACAGCUGUGCGCCCUCACGCACCUGGAGACAGACGAGCACCAUCACCUGACAGAGGCGCUGAAAGGGAUGGAAGCUGUGGCCGAGCACAUCAACGAGAUGCAGAAGAUCUACGAGGAGUACGGCAGUGUCUUCAACGACCUCAUGCGCACCUACCGAGAGGUGCACCCCAGCAAAACGCCGAUUGAACUGUCGGUGGGGGAGCUGCAGAUGUACGGCACGGUGGACUGGUGCAACAUGGUGGACUACCUGGGCAAAGUCAAGAAGACAACUGACUUCGAAAACACCGUCUUCGUCUUCAAGAUGGGCGUCGUCUUCCUCUGCUGCGAGCGACAGAAACGGCGCAAGUCCAAGUCCACCUCGUCUCGAACGUCCAUGAUCGAGAACCCGGAGCUGCUGGAGAGGUUCCGGACGCUGGUGCCCACAGCGGAAGUGCAGGUGUGCGGGGGCAAAGUAGCAGACAUGGACCGCCACUACUGGUGGGACCUCAUCCACUCGCGCGGCGAGGCCGAAGGUCGGCCAGAGCGGGUGUACCAGUUCUGCAACAGCACUCCGGAGGCCAAGUCGGACUUCAUGAAGGUCAUCCGCCAGACGAUUCGCGAGAGUGUAAGGAAAUUGCCUAUUCCUCCCUACCGCCCCGGGGACCCCGUGUCCCCCAGUCGUGUAGCGGGCGUAAUGUACGGUCACCAGCACUCCUCCACCCCCCAGCUGCUGACCUUGCAAAAGCGGCGAGUCGUCAAGUGUCCGGAUGGUGAGCGCCAUUCUAUGGACAUCGAGGAGCGCGUGGGCCGGGACUACGACAACCUCUUCCGCACGCGCAGCAAGACGGUCGGGGAUCUAAACCAGGCCAGCCUGGAGGAAAGCGGCGCCCCUCCAUUCGCGUCAGCAGCGGCGGCGGCGGCGCUGGACGUGGGAGCAGGCUCGGGUCGGAGGGAGAGCCCUGGCUCCUCCAUGUCCAACCUCAGCAGCUCCAGCCACAGCGGCUCCGCCAAGCUGCAGUACGCCAGCACCAACCCCAUCCACUACUCCUCGGGGUCCGUCAGCUCGGGCAGCGGGGGCGGGGGUGGGGUAGGGGGCGGCGGAGGAGGCUCGCCAGUGUGGAAGCCGCGCUCGGAGGUGGCGCAACGAGUGGGUGUGACCCCGCUGGACGACCAGUCGCGAGAAAGCACGUGCAGUAAGGACUCGGCCGACAGCGAACCUUCCUCGACUAGAUCGUCGCUAGCAGGUCACGAGCUGCAGAGGCAGACGAAGACAGUGGUGUUUACAAACUUCCAGUCGUUUCCUGUGAUCAAAGAUACCGAGUGUUAAGGACGCCUGCAGGCUUUGAGGACCGGUCAUUAGAGAGUUACUCGCGAAAGACGGGUGAUGGUCAUUGUUAAAGAAAUUGUGGAAUGAGGGGAGGAGGAAUCGGGUGCUGGUUUUCCCCAAUGGCAAGGCAAUUCUGUCAGGGAAAUCUUUAGCGCGUGUGGUUGCCUUGACCUCGCAGGGGGAUAUGCUCAACACGUCACUGGCUGGAGCCAUACAGUGACAUCACGGUCUGCAGCUGUGGAUGACUAAACCAGAAUCAUUACACUUGCAUUCCAACCAGUAUUAUUGCUGUGCAGGACUGGUCGUUGGGUUCGCCGAACAAACAAAACGGCCAGAUAUAAUAUAAGAAGUUAGAAAAGGAAGAUGGCCAUCGAAAUCAGAGACUCGUUGAGCGAAAGAUCAAAAUGGGUUUCUGUCUCUUGUAUAUACGUUACAGCAGGGGCAAGUAAUAAUGUUCAUGGCAAGAAGAGGCGGAUAAUGGUUGGGGGCUGAUGUAGGCGUAGAGUGUUAAAAUAAGGAUAAUGUAACAGCAUAAGCCCAUGACAGUGUAACCCAGCCUGAGGCAUGUGAUGAUAAAGCUGAGUAGAACUAACGCCCUAAAAAAGAAAAAAGAAAAACCAUACGCACCACACUCUAAGCAAUCAGCUUGACUCCGAUGGAGAUGGCACGGCAAAAUAAGACAAUCGCCUGAGCAGGACUGGAGAGGGCUUGCCAAGUCAUUGUGAUCUCACCUGUACAGCAAUGUCGGAUUUUUGUGAUCUCACCUUUACAGCGGCGCCUGGGGGUCGGGAGGGGCGGGGGUGGGUGGGGUUGAGGACAUUAAGAUGAUUCGCUGAGUGAAAUUCUCUGUUGCAUGGCCUUGGCUUUCACGAAACGAAAAGCCAUGUGGCUUAGACUUUUAAGUUAAAGUUUAGACAGUGGUAGACAUCUCAGGAGUAAAAUCGAGCUGUUGGCAACCAGGAGGCAGAACAUCACGAAGGGCAAUAUGGCAGUACGAGACAAUCGUUAUCUCAGUCAAGAUGACAGCAUUUGUACUUAGAGAGGAGAAAAUGCUUAAUAUUCUUGUUCAUAUUGAAACAAAAGCAUGAGACAGCUUGGCGACGAAUUUGCGUGUGGAGAAGGUUGCGCAGUGGUGGAUAUUGCAUGCCGGGCGAUUACAUGUUCUUGUAGACCGUUGCCGGGCAACCAGGCAUUUACCUUGGAGCCAAUUCUGCCACCUUGUUGCCACUGGCUUGUUUUUUCUCACAGAAGUGUAGACACGUGCAUGUUGAUGUGUGUGUGUGUGUGUUGUAUUAGGUGUAUUUAUUUCUUUGGCGAAAUAUUCUCUUUUCCUCUCCCCCACGACUCCCAUAAGAACUGUCUUCCAUCAGACGGAGAAAGCUUUUAAUGGCCAUCAGGGUCGACUGUAAGAUAUUAGUUGGGCACCAUGCUGAGUGGAAACACAUCAAACCUUAUAAAUUAUUAACCUAACGUGGCUGAUCUCGGAACUGCUGAAUUUUGCAGACAGCCAGCGACUCUACAGGGGAAAAAAUAUUUAUUCCAAUAAUAAAAAACCAGUGGUUUGUGGUUUGUUUUGCCCCUUUUAGACGUUAAACAACUGGACCGCAAAAAAAAAAAAAAGCCAAAAAAACUGAGAAGCAAAUACUUUGAUUCUCGCAGCUGACUGCAAAAAAUAGAACGAAAGAAAGAGUGAGAGCGUGAGAGAUGGAGACGUGAGUGAUGGAGGACGUGAAGCUUGUUCAUCCUCUACUCACUGCUGUACUUUUCUGUGUUUCGCAUUGCAGACACACUGACGGCGCCACUGCCAUAAUCUAAGGUUGGUUUAAACGUUCACCCAAAGAUCACCAGAGCGUUCACGUGGGAUGCCCAGUCAUCGCUGAUGUCAUCGGUGCUCGGCGUUCUUCAUCUUCGUGUUGUUCGUGCUGUCAUGUUGCUCUCUUCUCCCUUUCCCACCUCAUGACUGUUUGUCUUGACAACAUUUGUCACUGGCGACCUUUGGCGCUGAUUGUCUCGCUGGUCGAGACGGAGGACUGACUACAGAGAGCUCAAAAAACUUUACGCACUGUUGUGGAUGAUCCAUGUGAUGACAUUGGAAACUGUGUGUUGAUGAUGUCAAAGUUCAGAGUAGGUGUAUGUUGACUGUGAUGAUGGGUUUUUUUUAUUAAGAGGAGGAGCUUUCUGCAGCAUAAUAUACGCAUUGUACAAACAUUUGAUCAUUCCUGGUGCAGUCACGUGAAGAAACAUUCAACAAAGCUAAAUUCACAAGACAGCUAGAUGUAAAAACUUCAUUUAAUGCGUGCUAUAGAUGUACUGUAGAGGACUAACAUUUAAUGAUUAUUAUUUUAUUAUGUACAGGUUAGUGUGGAUAACAAAUAAUGCUUGAGAGGGUUGCAAUGGAUUUCCACUAGUCUCGGCAGGAUGGGUAUCAGAUCAUGAAAACUCCAGUGACAUCUACCUGACUACAAUCAUUUUAUAGGAAAUUGGGGGCUGGGUGGAGUGUGUCACGUGAUAUUUGUCUAAAUUUCUUUGAUGUAUUUGUUGGAAAAAAGGUGUUCUGUAUUGAGACAGAAGGCAUUGUUAAAAUCAGCAGUGGCCGACACUUGACCAACACAAUUGUUACAAUUAGUCGCAGUUUAUUGAAGUCUUGGCGGUUCUUUUAACUGACUCGUGGAAGUUCAGGCAGCUCUAACGGGCUUGAGGACGCUGGAUUUUUAAAUGACAUUUGACAUCGAGUACGUCACAUUUGAACUAUACGUAACCUCGUUUUGAAAUCCUUGUGUGUACAUUUGUGUGUAGCUCAAGUUUGUCAGAAUGAGCUUCUUAGUCUUGUAAUGCGGGAAUAGGGCAAAAUGUCAUCUGCUUGCAAGGAAGGGUGCACUUGUUGAUAAUUAUUUCCCUUGAACCACACCCUGUCUCUUUGACCCUGCGACUGGAGAGAGCAGGGCUUGUGUGAAGACAGAAUAAUAUCCUUCCUCCUUCGAUUUCAUCUCUUGUGCAUCCUUUAUAUUGAUCUUCCAACUCAUGUCUUGUUAGGAUUGGCUUUCUUUAUGUUGAGGUUUUGCUUCUUCUACGCUGGAAGAGAAUGUCAGAGGAAGAUGAGAAAAUUGUCCUUGACCUUUGUCCUUCAUACACCUCUUUCUGCUCUUUUGGAUUGUGAUAAUAAGCAUAAUGCGCUUGCCCAGUCUUGUCUUUAUCUGUCGGGACAUUGACAAUGACGCAUGUAAAAAAUAAAUAAAUAAAAACGCUUGACUGAGUACCUACAAAGACUGUGCAGCUGUCAGCAGCUGGGUCAGCCAUCUUUGAUUAUUCUAGGGGCUGCUCAUUCAACUGUAGAAACCAAUUUCUGGGAGUUUUUCAUUCGGUUUGUGAGCCUGGCUGCGUCCUGUCAAUAUUAGAAUUGUAAAUACUAGUCUGUGACAAAGAUAAUGUAAAGACAUAGGUCUGGGGGACUAUUUUGUACCGUAGUGUUUUCUAGCAACACUUAUUGUCGAGCUGGGUCACAGCACACGACUUUUCUACCAAGUCCCUCGAACACUGCACUGGUCCUGAGACCAAAACUAUGAUAACGAUUUCUCAGUCCUAGUCGAUGCUUCUGUGAAGUGGAACUUUGCCUCCUGCUUCAUUUGCUCCCCGGUCCUCGACCUUCGCAUGGAUGGCGCCCACCAGCUUUAGUCGUGUAGAUGGCUAUGACGGCAAGGGGCACAACUGCUUAGCUACCAAGCAGACUUCCUACCAAUCUGACCACCGUUCUACCUCAGUUAUGUUCCCUUUCCCGUAAUUUUCGCCCACCUGACGGGAAGCUUCUACAGGCUGCCAACACAUGUUCGUGUGUUGAUUAAACAGGCAGCAAAGUGGAGGCGAUGGCAAUCGUGGGAAAGUUGGUGACGUGCUUCCUUGAGACUAUUGCAAGCAAAAUGGUGUGGCGGGCUUUCCCACGACCUGUUUCUUUUUUAAGUGAAAUUAAUAUCCAUCAUCUGGAGAAAUCUGAUAAUCCAAACGAAGCCAUUAGAGGAGAACCGAAACAACAUCUCGCACCGCCGGGGGCUAAGAUUCAAAGCAACAUUAAUUGCUGCUGCAACAAUGUGUACAUGGGCACAAGCUGUUUGUCAUACCGGUGAAAAUAUACACAUCCCCGUUUCGUGUGGAACAACACGUUAAAAGGCGGUUGUGGUUCCCAGGAGUGAUCGCUCUGCAAUUAAAUGAAAAAAAGGUAACGGGUAGAAAAUGUACUUGACUGCUUGGGAAGAAGAUGAAUGACCUCUGUGUCCUAGUCUUGCUGUGAUUAUUUAUAGUAACCCAGAAUACGAUCAUUGUGAGAUUUCAACCCCGAUGAAUAUUCAAGAAGUCGGAUGAGACAUCUCGAUCCAGAGAGUGUUUCUUGGAGGUCUACAUUUUUAGAGGAUGAAGAUGGGAUCGGCGUCAUCAGGGUGAGAAAACGAAACAGAAGUGUGUCUCACCUCCCAAUGAUUUCAAAAUGGCGGCCACUUGAAGAUGUAAGAUCGCCGCUUCCCUCCUACUUUCGGGUUUUUUUCAGCGGGACGGGGAGCAACUGCCAUCGCUCUUCUCUCGGUGACGUAACGAGAGGAGGAGCUGAGAACGUGCUUUGACAACCAGACCACUUCAAUCAUUUUUAGGCGCUAGAAAAUUGAGGUGACCCCAUGUGACCCACACCUACCUGCAGUUUACCCUCCUUAGUGACUGUCGCUAUGACCGAGAUGCCGAGGUUGCUGGGUGCUGGAAGCGAUGGAGGACGAGGCCAGACGCGGCUACGAUACGUCACUGUCUCCAUAAUGUCUGACAUCCCCUUAGCUGUGUACACCUGUUCUAGUUUAUUUUUUUCUUGGAAACUCCUUGGUCUCACAGCCUGUCUAGAGCAAAAUGGGCAUUAUAUAGAAAUAUACAAAUUGUAUACAAAACCUUUCGUUCUUCCACAGUUCCUUGUCCUUUUCCUCCCUGUCCUUUUGAAGUUGCUCACUAUGCAGGACAACGGACACGCACAAUUGUUGCAUGGCUGUGUGCGGCCAUGGGUAGCCUAGGGAACCAGUCAGCCAUGUUGUCUUCAUAGUCAUGACGAGUCUUGUGACAUACAUGCGCUGGAAAUGUAGAAGUGAAUGCACAGACGCGUGCUUGUAUCGUGAAACGGGUGGAUCUACCUGUACUUGUGUAGAGACCGUGUAAGUGUAAGAAUGCUCAAGUGUAGUUAGGCGUGUGGGCGGAUAUCUGAGUAGAGACCUGUUUGUAGAGAAACCAUACCACAGUUCAAGCAGGAAACAGUUAUAACUGGUCACAUCCCCCACUUCCAUUCCAAUCCCCUACCUGACUCUUCCUCGAAUUUUCCUUUCAUUGUUUUCCUAUCUUGAUUAUCAUUCUAUUUGUCUGGAACAACUCGUCAGAUGUUACAAUUUACAGAGAAAGACAGCCAGCCCGAGGUCGACUGUAAUUCCAUGAGUUUUUUAAUUUAAUUUAAUUUUUUUUAAACAAAAACUGUUCAAUAAGUCAAGUGUAAGUCAAACAUGGCGAGAUUAUCUUGUUGACAUGUAUUCGUUCUGUUUUAUGCCAACUUGAAGCCUCUGUUCGGCGCAGUAUUAUGUAUGCAUUACCAUUUUAUUGUUUGUCUUAUGAAGUCUGCUUAAGUACGCUACUGUGUCGCUUGUGUUUGUUUCUAUGGGUUGAUAUCAUCAAAUUUCAUGGCCAUGCUGACCACAUGGCGGUUUUGUCUGAUAUUAAAAUAAGAGAAACUUUUGUCUCGCUACAGUCAAUGACUGAGCCAAGUGGACAACUGAACAAUCACUACAGUCACUCUCUCGCUUUUUUUCUGAGCCAGAAAUUGAUGAUAUAGAAACAUUGAUAAAUAUACUUCAUCUGUUAA